rnacentral:rRNA from 1 species
CGAUACUAGCUUGCUAGUAGUCGUCGAGUGGCGGACGGGUGAGUAACGCGUAGGAAUCUGCCUGAUAGUGGGGGAUAGCCCGAAGAAAUUCGGAUUAAUACCGCAUAAUCUAUUCGUAGUAAAGUGGGGGACUUUCGAGCCUCACGCUAUCAGAUGAGCCUGCGUAAGAUUAGCUUGUUGGUAGGGUAAAAGCCUACCAAGGCGACGAUCUUUAGCUGGUCUGAGAGGAUGAUCAGCCACAUCGGGACUGAGACACGGCCCGAACUCCUACGGGAGGCAGCAGUGGGGAAUAUUGGACAAUGGGGGCAACCCUGAUCCAGCAAUACCGCGUGUGUGAAGAAGGCCUGAGGGUUGUAAAGCACUUUCAAUUGUGAAGAAAAGUUAGCGGUUAAUAACCGUUGGCCUUGACGUUAACUUUAGAAGAAGCACCGGCUAACUCCGUGCCAGCAGCCGCGGUAAUACGGAGGGUGCAAGCGUUAAUCGGAAUUACUGGGCGUAAAGCGUGCGUAGGCGGUUUAUUAAGUCAGAUGUGAAAGCCCCGGGCUUAACCUGGGAACUGCAUUUGAAACUGGUCAACUAGAGUAUGGUAGAGGAAAGUGGAAUUUCUGGUGUAGCGGUGAAAUGCGUAGAUAUCAGAAGGAACAUCAAUGGCGAAGGCAGCUUUCUGGACCAAUACUGACGCUGAGGUACGAAAGCGUGGGUAGCAAACAGGAUUAGAUACCCUGGUAGUCCACGCCGUAAACGAUGAUAACUAGCCGUUGGGGGGAUUUACCCUUUAGUGGCGAAGCUAACGCG